rnacentral:rRNA from 1 species
UUGAACGCUGGCGGCAGGCCUAACACAUGCAAGUCGAGCGGAUGAAGGGAGCUUGCUCCUGGAUUCAGCGGCGGACGGGUGAGUAAUGCCUAGGAAUCUGCCUGGUAGUGGGGGAUAACGUCCGGAAACGGGCGCUAAUACCGCAUACGUCCUGAGGGAGAAAGUGGGGGAUCUUCGGACCUCACGCUAUCAGAUGAGCCUAGGUCGGAUUAGCUAGUUGGUGGGGUAAAGGCCUACCAAGGCGACGAUCCGUAACUGGUCUGAGAGGAUGAUCAGUCACACUGGAACGGAAAACGGGCCCAAGCCCUUAGGGGGGGCAGCGGGGGGGAAUAUUGGACAAGGGGCGAAAGCCGAACCCAGCCAGGCCGGGGGUGUAAAAAAGGUUUUCGGUUUUUAAAGCAAUUUAGGUUGGGGGGAAGGGAAGUAAGUUAAUACCUUGGUGUUUGGACGUUCCCAACAGAAAAAGCACCGGCAAACUUCGU